rnacentral:rRNA from 1 species
UACAUGUGGGGCAAGCGUUGUUCGGAAUUACUGGGCGUAAAGCGCGCGUAGGCGGACCUGCAAGUCGGGGGUGAAAGCCCGAGGCUCAACCUCGGAACUGCCUUCGAUACUGCGGGUCUCGAGUCCGGGAGAGGUGAGUGGAAUUCCUAGUGUAGAGGUGAAAUUCGUAGAUAUUAGGAAGAACACCAGUGGCGAAGGCGGCUCACUGGCUCGGUACUGACGCUGAGGCGCGAAAGCGUGGGGAGCAAACAGG